GGAUGAGGUUUCAAAUUGGUCUCCAUUACAAUGAGACAAGUUUCCAUCUUCUUGCUCUUCAUUGUUGCCAUCUUCAUCAUUCAACUGCUUUUCGUAACCGCAGAUCAAAGUGGGGAAUUCAGGACUGAACGAUAUGAUCCAAGAACGCCACCAACACCACAAGGAAACAUAGAGCGUGGCAUGUUUCCACCUGAAUCGAGCUCACCACCACCGGUUUACAACUAAGUUCGUGUUCACGUAUUUCAAAACUCAUGCAACCACCUUAAUUCGCUUUUCAUUAUUCGUUUUAAAUGUAAAAAGAACAGAAAACAUGGUUGUUGGGAAGGGUGCUACAACUGCUUAAUUACACCCACCUUGUAACAUCCCUAAAAAAUAGCUGGACUAAAACGAACUUUUGGUUCUCUUCAUCCGUUAAUAAAAUUUAAACAGAACUCGGUAACGUUUAUGCCA